AAAUUACAAAACAUGAAAAAGAAUAUGUGAUGUAACAAGACAAGCCCUAUCUUAUUUAAAAGGGCAGCUCAAUGAAAGACAUAAAAAACAGUUCAUCAAGAACCACCACCGGCGACCCGAUCCGACCCGAACAAGUAACAUAGCAAGAAAAUUAGGUACAGAUUAAAAGUCCUUUGACACGCCCACAUAAUAAUAGAUACCGCAAUCAGCGAUCACGACGGGCUUUUUGGUCCUUCCAGAUCUGGACCCCAUUUUCUCGAUGGCCUUGACGACGUUCAUCCCUUCGACGACUUGACCGAACGCAACGUGUUUCCCAUCGAGCCACUCGGUCUUGCCCGCAGAGAUGAAGAACUGAGAUCCGUUGGUUCCGGGUCCGGCAUUGGCCAUGGAGAGGAUUCCGGGGCCGGUGUGCUUCUUCACGAAGUUCUCAUCGGCGAAUUUUGAGCCGUAGAUUGAUUCCCCUCCGGUUCCGUUUCCGGCGGUGAAGUCUCCCCCCUGGCACAUGAAUCCGGGGAUCACACGGUGGAAGGACGAGCCCUUGUAGUGGAGUGGCUUGCCGGACUUGCCGAUGCCUUUCUCGCCGGUGCAGAGGGCGCGGAAGUUCUCGGCGGUUCGGGGGGUGACGUCGGCGAAGAGUUCCAUCACGAUCCGGCCGGCCGGCUGACCGCCGACGGUCACGUCGAAGAACACUUUGGGGUUUGCCAUUUUUGAUUGGUUGAUUGGUUGAUUGGAGAGAAAAAAACAAACUAAACACGGAUUUCUGAUUUGGUGAUUUUUGGGCGAAUUUUUUAGGGUUUUGGGGCAGUUAAAUACGGGAUGGAGCGGUGGGGGAGUAACAAAAAGUGAAUCUGGACCGUUGAGGGGGAACACGUGGAGGGAUAUCGUGGGGCGGGGUGGAAGUAACUGAGGUUGAGUUAAGGUUGACUAGAGUUAUGUGAGGGAUCCCAGGCUGAGGUAAGGGUGUUCGCGGAUCGGAUUUUACGGAUUAGACAUCAAUUCAUAUCCGAUCAACAAUGUUACGGAUUAUAAUUUUUCAAUUCAAUCAAAUUCACGGAUUGAUUAAACUCAAUUCAAAUCCAAUCCAUACAUUUGCGAAUCGGAUGUAGAUUUGACUCAAUCCAUAUCCAAUCUAUACGUCUGCGGAUCAGAUGCGGAUUUAAUUUAAUUCAUAUCUAAUCUACCUUUAGCACAUUAGUUUUCGAAUUUAAAAUUUUUAGUUCUCCUCAAUCCAUGAACUAAUGAAAUUAAAAAAAAAUCUAAUAUAAAAUAAUUUUACUACCAAUUAAAUUUAAAAUUAAAUAAAAUUUAAACAAAUUAAUUGUUUAAAUAAAACUAAAAUAAUACGUUUAAAGUUUCAAAAUAUAAUACACUAAGAUUAAUUAUUCAAAUAAAGUUACAAUAAUACAUUAAUAUAACACCGAAAUUAAUUGUUCAAAUAAAGCCACAAUUAAUUGAAAUGGCGAAAUUUUUUAAACCAAACACAGUUUGAUCCUUCACCAUGGCUAUUGCACUUGUCAAAAAGUGGUGAUUACAGAGCCGUCAAUGAUGGGAACCAGGAGAAGUACGGGUGGCGAUCUUGAAGGUUGUGAUAGUGCAAUUGUUUGGCUGGAACCAGUGAUUGGGAAGUGGCUCGAUGGACUCAGGGAAGAAGAUGGCUUGCUCUCGCUAGAAUCACGCGAUUGACGUCCUUCAAAUUGGUGUCGAUAGUGUAUCGAACCAGUAUUAGGUGUUGCUAGUGCGUGUGACGACGGGAAAGUUUAAGGUUUUUUGUUUGCAAAUUAUUGGUGACUGGGCGCAAUGCGAAUCCCACAAUGAAACUUUCAAACCCACACUUAAUUUGUAGUUUCAACUUCCUAGGAAAGUUCUAAAUAGAUUUAACACAAACAAAAUCUUGACCCAAUGCAUAAGAAAACAUGAACCAAAGGUAUAGAGAAUGAUAUUGACGCCACACUUAAGAAAUAGAUGAGAAGGUGAGUGAUAAGUCUAAAUUUGGAACGCCAUAAGAAUGCAAAUUCUUGAUAAGUUCACUAGUUCUCAAAAGAACGAAAGAAAGAAUAAUCUUUCAAAUUCAACUAACAUUAAUCUCUAAUUCCAUUACAUAGUAAGGUUGCUGAGUUUAAAUAAUCUAAAAGAAACCCAAGAUCCUAAAAAUACAAAUGGAAACAUUGGAACAACCCUCCAAGUAAGUUUGUCAAAGGAUGCUUCAAAAGUCUUCACCAACCCACCAUAAUUAAUGUUAUCUUUGACAAAUUUAAUGCUAGCCUACUAUAAUUAAUGCUAUCAUUGACAAAUUUAAUGUUAGCCCACCAUCAUUUAUGGUAGACUUACCUUACACAUUGACAAACUUUUGACAAACUUGAAACAAAAUAAAGAAAUGUAGUUGAAAAACAAAUGAGUCGUUGAAAAUCUCAAGUCUGAAUAAACUUUAAUGAAUUUGUCAUAACUCCUUUUAGAGAACUCCAAAUCUAGCUCUGUAAAAUGCAUUGGAAAGCUAACUUAAUUAUUUUUCCAAUGGUAUAUAGCUUGCACAUUACUUCUGCCUCAAUCAAUACCAGUUUUAUUCCGAAUUUGACCUUUUUGCAUUUGAUACAAAUUGUGUAUUUGGCUGCCCAAUAACUUGAAUAAUGCCUACAAUGCCUUGUCUUCUCUUCAAGCCCAAUUCAUAAUGUCUUGCAUCUUGAAUUUUAUUUUCAAUCCAUAUUUUCUCAAUUAAUCCAUUUAAAGCGAUUUGCAUCUUUUUGGCUCUAACCCUUGUAAUUGGGUCUCCAUGAAUGUGCAAAUGAUCACUUGAAACUUUAAUGGUAUUCCCUUGAUGGUUCUCAUCAUGGCGUUAUGUUACUUUACUUUUGGGUGAUUUUACAAAUUGUUGGUAACUUGCCAUUAUGUUACUUUGAUGUUGCUAGUGCGUGUGACUUUGCUUUUUAUUUUGUUUUCUAAUUUUUAUAAGUUAUAUUGUAUAUUUGAUUUUUUAAUUAUUUUUUAUUUAAUAUUAUUAUUGGGUAAUGGCUAAGAUAUGUUAUAGUGCUUAUGUAACUAUGUAAUGUUACAUUUAUAAUACUAUUUAAUUAAAUUUAUAAUAAUUUUUUAACUAAAUAUAUAUAUAGAUAUAUAUAUAUAUAUAUAUAUAUGACAAUUAUUUACAAUGCUUUAUUGGAGAGAAACUUCCAAAGCAGUCGUCUGGUAUAGAAGUACUAGGCUCUGAUACCAGAAGGAAAUAGGAUCGAAGGAUGAAUGUGUUUUAAGAAAGAAAUUAUAAACAAAGAAAUCAAUUCGCGAUUGAGUAGAUUUUAUUAAGAGUACGUGGCGUUGUGACCAUAUCGAUGCAGAACUUAAUCUGCCUUCGUGACCAGAUCUGACUUAGAACAUAUCAAUAUCACGCACGUUCUGUUUUCCAGCCGAUAUACUAUGUUUCUUUACCAGAUAUGAAUUAGGUUCUUUAAACAAGCCUAGCAACAGAUCUAGAGGCUCAUAUAUCGUACUAGAUCUGGAUCCCAGAAAAAGCACUCUGAAUGAAUGGAGGGAGAAGAGAAGAUACAACUGAGGAUAGAGAUCAGGUCUCGUUGCCUAAGAGGAACGUAGCAGUUUUAUGGCAGAGCUGAUACAGAUCAGUCUGCAAAAUAUGCAUAAAAUUUAAAUUACUGAAAUUUAAAUGCUUUAAAGUAAAUUGCGGAAAUUAAAAUGCAGAACUUUAAAUUUACAUCAAAGCUUUAAAUAAAAAUUUAAAGAACGAAUUAAACAUACAUGUUUGCUUUAUUUCUUUGAACUCAACCCUUUGUACAAUUUUACAGAUCUCUUCAAGAAGAAAGAUUGAAAGAUGGGAAGAUUACAAGACAGGAAAGGUUUCCUUGAUGUCUUGAUCCAGACUUCCCAAGAGAGAGAGAGAGAGAGAGAGAGAGGGAGAAGAAGAAGAGAAAGAAAAUUAGAUCUGAAAAAUCUGAGGAGUCUAAGUCUUCCUCUCGAUUUAAAUACAAAAAUAUUUUUUUUUAACUGUAGCGGGCCUGUAGCUUCUCUACUGUAGCGGAGCUUGCUUGAAACAGUAAUCUUUGGAACAUACAGUAUUUUCUAAUUUUAAUUCGGGUGAAGAGACAUGUGCGCUCUCACUUGUGUCCAGGGGACCACCCGAGGGUACAAACAAACGAACAAAAAUGGAAAAUACAAGGAAAAAUACUGGAAUACUCUUUUUUUUUCUUUUUUUUUUAAACAUACAUAACAAUUAUUUACAAUGCUUUAUUAGAGAGAAAAUUCCAAAGCAGUCGUCUUCAUUUUCAUCUCCAAGAGAGAUAAAGGGCUCUUCAUCUUGAUCAUCAUCCGAGGAGUCUGCAACUGAGGAUUUUGAUCUUGAAGUGAGGAGCUGCUCCAUGACUUUAAAAUAUUCUUCUUCAGAUUUGGCACUGGCCAACAGAGAUUGGGCUUUGGAUUUUUGGGUUAGAAAGGUCUCUUGGGCUUUCACGGCUUUAAUAGAUGGGGGUAAGAAGCCUUUAGAACAGAGCCAAUUGCGGAUCAGGGUGUCUGUCAAUUUAGACUGUUCGUCAAACUUUGACCACCAUUUUACUUUGAAUGUCCUUUGUAAGAUGAGCUGGGCAUCUUGGGUAUGAAAUCUGAGGUUCCACAUCCAUACCCAUGGAAGGAAGAAAUUUGUACAGAAACAGAGAAAUGGGGGAACCCUUUUCUCAGAUUCAGAAGGAAUAUAGUGGGCUUUAAAGAGGUUUAAACAAUGGGUGGCAUUUGGAGUUAGGAUCUGAGGGAUUGGGCCAAAAGAAUUCCACCAAUGUUGAAACCAGUUUGGGAGGCUUUGAACAAUUAUUUUUGAAUUGAAGAAAAAUAACCAAGAGUGAGAUUUUUUGGGGUUUUGGAUAAAAAAUGUGUUAUACCAGGCUUGUUGGUAAUCCCAAUAGGAAUAAGUCAAACAAUGUGGUAAACACAUUUGAAAAUUUGGAGGGAAGGUUUUUUGUUUGUGAAGUUGAUCACCCCACUGGUUUGGGCUCAAGACUUUUAGGAUAGUAGCCAUGGAAUAGGCUGGCUCUGAAUGGGUUUCACUAAGAAAGAAAUGUUUGAAUUUUACUGACUCAGUGGCUUCUAAAAUGCUUUGAUAGUAAGACUGGGGUUUUGUAAGAUCCCAUGGUUUGAAAAACCAACCUUUAGGGAAAAACUUUGAAAUAGAUUGAAAAGGAUCAGCAUGGUAAAAACCAUCUUCUAUAGAUAAAAUAUUUUGGAAGUGGGUUUUAUCAAACCAAUCAGAAGAUUUCUUUGAAAGUGUUGGCUGGGAAAGCACAAUUUGAGAAGAUGAACUUUCACCAGAGACAACUACAUUUUGAGAAGAGGGUUUUGAAAUCUCUUUGGAAACAAGUUUUUCUUUUUCAAUCUCUUCUUUAGGAGAAAUUUGGCUUUGGGAAAAGCUUUGUAGAGCGAGCAUAAGCUCAGUGGAUUUUGUAAUGGAACUCAUCCAUUGUUUUACUUGGUCAUCAGAGGUAAUUGCUUUGUAUUGGGCUUCUUGUUCUUCAACCAUUUCAAUCCAGGAUUUGAUGGGCAUGGCAGAAGAAAGCAAAUUUUCUUUAGAAGGGGUUGAAUGAGGUUCUUUAGAGGUUGCUUGAGACUCAGAGUCUUUAAGAACAACUUUACCUUUGUCCUUCUUUCUUGGCGGCAUUAUCUGUUUUGGAGAAAUUCUCUGGUUAGAAAAUCAGAGACAUAAUUUUUAUCUCCUUUAAUAAAUUCAAUAUUGAAAUCAAAAACACUUAAAAUGGCUUGCCAUCUUGCAAAAAUUUGUUUUGAAGCAAUAUUUUGAACAUCUUUUUCCAAAACAUGUUUUGCAGCUUUGCAAUCAAUUCUAAGCAGAAAUUUUUGAUUUAAUAAAUCACUUUGGAAUUUAGAUAUGCAUAAAACAAUAGAAAGAAUUUCUUUUUUUAUAGUAGAAUAAUUUUUCUCGCAAUCAUUCCAAUGUGCAGAAACAUAUUGUAUUAUAUGCUCUUUAUCAUUCUCUUUUUGUUUUAGUAUACCUUCAUAGCCUAAAUCAGAUGCAUCUGUUUCAACUAUUUUAGGUAAUGCAUGAUUUGCCAAGAAUAAACAAGGAAUAUUCUUUACAGAAUUUUUUAUCAAUCGGACAGCUUUGGUGUGUUCAUCUGUCCAUGCAACAUGAUUCUUUUUUAAUAUGUCAUGCAAAGGUUUAGACAUCCGGUUAAUAUUAGGACAGAAAUCAAGAACAUAAUUUAGACUUCCUAAAAAUCUUUGUAGUUGGGUUUUAUCAAGAAUUUUAUCAGGAAAUUUAUCCGCAAACAAAAGUGAUCGUUCAAUAGGGGUGAUAGUUCCUUUAGAAAUAUAGUGACCAAGGAAUCUGACUUUUGUUUGGAACAAUGAAACUUUAGAACUAGAAAGGGCUAGGCCAGCCUUCUUAGUGGCAAAAUAAAAAGUUUUUAAAUGCUUGAAAUGUUGAUCAAUUGUUUGAGAAAAAAUCAACACGUCAUCUAUAUAAACAAUGCAAAACUCAGAAUAAGGGUUAUAGAUGUCAUUCAUGAUUCUUUGAAACUCUGAUGGUGCAUUCUUUAAACCGAAUGGUUUUACAGUCUACUCAUAUUGUCCAAAAGGAACAGUAAAGGCAGUUUUAUAGCGGUCAUUAGGGUGGAUUUGGAUUUGCCAAAAACCCGAUUUCAUGUCAAAUUUUGAAAAAAUAAAAGCUGAACACAAUUUCUGGAGUAAAUCGUUUUUAUUAGGUAUAGGAUAUCUAAUCUAUUUUAAUGCUUUAUUUAAAGGUUUGUAAUUUAUUACAAGUCUUGGUGUUCCUCUUUCUAUUUCGGAGUUUUUAUUAACAUAAAAAGCGGCCCAAGACCAUGGGGAUCUGGACUUUACAAUGAGUCCUUUGGUCUCUAAAUCUUUUAUCUCAUUUUUACAGUGUUGUUCCAAUUCCAUGUUCAUUUGGAUUGGACGAGCUUUAGUGGGUAUUUAUUUUUCAUCAAAAGAAUUGUCAUAGGGCAAAUCUACCAAAUGUUGUUUUCUAUCCCAAAAAGCAAAUGGUAAAUCGGCGCAUAUUUUUUUUUCAAUGAGAUUUUUAAAAUCAGAGAUCUUUCUUUGUAUAAAGUCAUUUUGUAACUGGCUUUCAAUUCUUUGUAGACUUAAGUCCUUUUUUAAACAAAACAAGUCAUUUUGUUUAGAUUUAAGCAUGGCAUUGAUUUGAUUCUGGUAAACAGAACAAGCUUUAACAAUAUUUAGAUUUCUUGUUUUUGGUUUCUCAAUAAAAGGGAAAACAAGCUUUUUGGAUUUUGCUUUAAAACAUAUGCUAUCAUAAUUGACAAUAUAUGAGGUAAUUAAAUUUAUAAAUGAGGUUCCUAAAAUGACUGUAUGGUGUAUGUCAUUUGUAAGAAGAAAAGAAGUUCUGAAUUCAAAACCAUUGUUAUGCACUGAGGCGUCUACUUUUGACUUAAUUUUUAGUUUUGAAUUAUUGGCGGCCGAGAGUCUUUCAUUUGUCUUUUCAUGGAAUUUUUUAGGGACAAUAUCUUCUUUAAUGCAAUUCAAAUCGGCACCAGUGUCAAAGAGAGCAAUGGUGUCAAUUUCAAAAUCUUUAGAAAAAAUUAAAGUGAUUUUCAUCAAAUACUUUCUGGUGGUGAUUUGUUUUAAAACAAACAGGAAAUCAUUAGGUGCAGAUUCAAUGUUUUCAAGGUUUUGUUCAUUGUCACCAUCAGUUUCGGCUUCUUUAUCAGAAUUAUCUUCUAAUUGUUUUUGUAUGAGAAGUUGGAUAGUAUCAGAAUCAUUCUUUUGUUUUUCUUUUAAUUCUUUAAUCUCAAGUUUGAUUUCUUUGAUCUUUUUCUGAAGAUCUUGGAUAUUGGGGACAGUUUUGUUUGUUUUCUUUUUGUCCAAAAUCUCAGUAAGGUCAUAAGAGUUCUUUUUAACAAUUGGAACUUUAGAAGUUUCUGCUUUAUUAGAAUCUAAGGUCUUUAAAAGUUUAUCAAGGUAUUCUUUCUAAAUAUUCGGAUCAGUAAUAUGUUUAACAAGUUCAAGAAAAAUUUCUUGGUCUUUAGUCAAAACAUUGAUUUUCUUUAAAUAGGAAUCUGAAUUGCUGGUGUCGGAGUCACUCAAAGAAACAGAUUCAGAGUCAUUUAACUCAUCAACCUGUAGAGGUUCACUAUCUCCCGUCAUGGAAGACUCAGAGUCAGAAGACUCUAUAAGCAAAGAGGCAACUUUGGAGAGGGUUUCAUCAUCAAGAUCAAGCUCAUGGAGCUUUCUGUUCAUUCUGCAAAACUUUGCAGUAUGGCCUUUCUUUCCACAUUUGUAACAUGUGGCUUCUUUAUAAUUAAACGAGAUUUUUGGUUUGGCUCUAAACUCUUUCUUUUUAGAGAAGUUGGGUUUCUUAUAAGGCUUCAAAGGUUUCUUAUAAGGAAGUUCUCUAAAGUCUUGAAAGGGUUUCUUAUGAAAUCUAGAUUUGUAAUGUUUCUUGUAAGGUUUUGUAGAACACUUACCAUUACAAUCUUUGGAAGUAGAAGUCUUAAAGGGGUUAUAAUUGAAUUGUUUACAGAAACUGCCUAAUUCUUGCUUAGACUUCUUAAGCUCCCAUUUUAGACGUUUCUGUAUCUUCAAAUCUUGACAAAUCUUUAAGCCUUCCUUAUUGACAAAACUAACAAGUUCACCAUAGGUGAGCUCAUCAUAAGGAAUUCGGUUAUCAUAAAGAGCUUUAAUGGAAUUCCUAACCUUUUCUCCUAGUAGGGUAGGUAAACCUGCAAGGAAUUUCUCUUUCCAAGUUAUAAGAUUUGCAUCAUCCCUAAGGAAGAGUCUGGUGAAGAAAGUGGUUUUAUAGCUUUGGAAUUCACUAAGUUUUCUACACCUCAGGUUGUGUAGUAACUCGGCGUUUUUGUCUCUAAGGUGAGAAGGGUCACCUAUGAAAUGGAGGGAUAUAGUUAGAAUCAGGGUAGCUACAUCAUCCUGAAUUGGACUAUUGAACUCAUAAAGAAUAGGGGCAUUAUUCUCAUCAACUUGAAUGGAGUUUAGGAUAUCUAAUUGUUGCUGUUUGGUGAGGAGAUGAUCCCACCAUCCUUUAAGUUGACCAGUAAAACCAGCAACGAGAAUUUCUGCAAUGGCUCUAUCCGAAGUUCCCGUCUAUGUUUUAUAGGCAUUGGCUGCCAUGGUCAUUUGUCGCAACAAUCCUAGGAUGUUGUAUUCAGACAUACCAUCAAUAUUCCACUCAUAGACAGAAGAUGCAUUAAAUCGUGAUUGAUUUAAAGCACUUGGUCUAUUAUCUAUAGCUAGAUCUGGUGGAGUCUUGACAGUAGGUAGGGCUAAAUCCCAAUGGAUUUUGUUAGCAUGAGGAACAAAAGGUUCUUCUUUAAAUGCUUCUAUGUCUGAAGAGAUUGUAGAAACAUCAUCAUGCUCUAGUACACCAAUCUUGCUGGAUUGGGCACUAUCAGGGGCUAUUUGGACCUUAGAAGAAAAAGAAGAAGAUGAAGCUUCUAUUCAAUCUAAUUGGUCUCUAAUGGCUUUAGCAAAAUCUGAUUUUGACUCUUGAACAAGCUUUUGGCUAGUUUUCGAAACCUGGAAAGGUUUGAAAAUAGGUUCCUUAAGCUUUUUGUCAGAAUCCGAUUUUGAUGAAACAGGAGAAACUUUUAUGGUUGGCUUUUGGAACUGGCUUUCUAUCCUAGUCAAUUGUUUUCCUAUAGUAUUUAAGUUAGUAUUACAAAAAUUAUUCUGUUGAAUAAUACUACUUAAAUUCGCAUCAGAAUCAUUUGGUUUUGGGAUUUUGUAAGGUGAGGCUCUAAUCUCAAUAGGAGGUUCACCAUGGUUAAUAGUUAAACUCCUAAGAGGUGGAUGUUCAGAUUCUAUGGUUCUAUUGCUAUCAGAAAGAUUCCACUCAGGGGUUUUCUUCCUAACAGUAAUAGGGUUUGACUCUUUAAAAGGAUAAGAGAUGUUGUUAUUGGAAGAAUAUAUCUCAAACCAAUCAAAAAACAAUAUAUGAAUUUUUUGAGAAUUUACAAAUGCAUAAUAUGUCUCUUGAAUUUCUUUUCUUUUAUUUAGAAAAUGUUUAAAAAACCAGAGUCUUUUUUCUUUAUUAUUAUCUGAAUAAAAGUCAUUGUGAAGAAGAGUUUUAUUCAGCUCAAAGUCUUUCGUUAUGACAUUUAUUACAUUUUCUGUGACAGCAGAAAACGUAGGAGAAGUUGGAGGAGAAGGGUCCUUCUCUUCCUGUCUUUGCUCAUGUUGUUUCGGAAUCACUGGUGCAGUGGCACCUUCAAAAAUCCAUUCAUCUGGAAGAUUGAUAUCUUUCCAUUGUAUUGAUUUUGGAAUGACAGUAUUUGCUUUGGACAGAUCAGUUUGUAAAAGGAGAGUCUCGUCUCUUUUUGACUGGAAUUUAUGUUGCGUGCUAAACGCAGAAAUCAUGGCUUUAUAAGAAAUUUUAAAGAUUAAAGCAACUGGGACAGAUCCUUUUAUCAUGUGAUAAUUAUGGGUCUUGAUUUGUAAAAUCAUACUUUUUAAAAUGUUCUUGUCUUUUAAAGAAAUUGUUAUGUUGGGAUAACAAUUGAAUGAAAUGGGACCUUUACAAAGACUUGAUUCUAUACUACUUAGUAAAGAAUCAUCAAAGGAGAUGAAACGACCAUCUCUCAGGACAACCAGAAUAGACGUAUCAAGACAUUCUUUCGUUAGAGGUUUUAUGCCGACUUGUAUUAGUCCGAUGUGAAUAUAAUUAAAAUUUUUAUCUUUUAAUUUCUUUAAAGACUGUUAUGAAAACAAAUGAAUUGUUUCAAAAGGUUCUGAAAGGGUUAUGUCACGUUCUUCGGUCUUUAUAACAUAAUCAUUUUUUAAAAAAUCAAGAUUUUUUGUUUUGUAAAUCAUUUCUUUAUUCACCUUUGGUAAUUCACAAUUAUCAAUUGCUUUAUUGAAGUCUUCGAUAACAAAUUCUUCAGAAUUCACAACAUUCUUUGAAUCGCUAGUUCUUCCAGAAGAAGAGCUAGAAAAGGACGAUGCUCUACAAAGUAGAGAAUCCAUGAAUCAAAACCUAUGGUCUACUCAAAGACCUGUUGGUAUGGUUACAGGUUUGGUUUUACUGCCCUAAGCGGAAAAUCUUAUCCUAAAGCGGGACUGACUACCAGUAAGGAAUUCACCACACAAACAAGAAUUAAAAUAAAACACAAGUCUUUAGACACAGAGACUCUAAACUAUACAACACUUUCCUCCCCUUGGCUCUGAUACCAGAAGGAAAUAGGAUAAUGGAUGUGUUUCAUAUAUAUAUUGCGGAUUCACGAAUUUUUACAGAUUUGUACCAGUAAAUCCAUAUCCAAUCCAUCGACUGCGGAUUUUUAAAAUUUUAAUCCAUAUCCAAUCCACGGAUCCACGGAUCGAAUUUAUACGGAUCAGACAUAUUGAAUUGAUCGGAUUAGAUUAUGAACACCCUUAAGCUGAGGCUAGGUGUUUUUAGUUUUGGAUAUGUCGUUUUGUCAGUGGGAACGGCGCCAUUUGUUUGGGUUUAAAAUUGAGCAUAUUUAUGAUACUUAGAGGAAUCGUACAAAAAUCUGUUAACAUAUAUGUUUCCAUAAUAUUGAUUUUGAUGAUAACAAACAAGUUUAAGAAUGAUUAAUCUUUUAAGCUCAAAUUAUUUAAUAUUCUUUUUAAAUAAAUCAUUAUUUUCACAUUAUAAAUGUUUUAUAUUUAAUGGAAAAAUGAUUUUAUGAAAUUGAUUGUUUUUAUUCUUUUUAAAUAAAUCAUUAUUUUCACAUUAUAAAUGUUUCAUAUUUAAUGGAAAAAUGAUUUUAUGAAAUUGGUUAUUUUUCAAAGUUUAUGGUUUAAUUGAAAGAAUUUUGAAAACUUUGAAAUAAACAAGUAUUGCUUGAAAUUUUGGAGAAGGACUUAUUUGAAAAGUGUCAUAGUAUUUUGGGCUAUACCAUAAUUUCAGAAAGUUUUGGGAUUAACAAAGCAUUACUUAGAAAUUCUGAAAUUGGACCUAUGUGCAAUGUUUCAUAACAUUUUGGGUCAUACUAUAGUUUUGUAAAGUUUUGGGGUCAAACUGUAAUUUCAGAAAAUUCUUUCAGUGUAGCAAUCACUGUAGCAAACGGCUAACCGUUUAUUUAAAAAUGGCUAACCGUUUAUUUAAAAACGGCUAACCGAUAAUUUCCAGAAAGCAUGUUCUGCAAAGUAUUGUUAAAAUGAUGAUUCUGGAAACUAACGGUGAACCGUUUACUGAAAACGGUUAACCGAUUAUUUUCAAAUUGCUAACCUUGAACCGUUUAGUAAGAACGGUUAAACCAAAUUUAUUUUGCAGGUCUCUGGAAGUUAACGGCGAAAGGGUAAGCCUAAACGACUAACCGUUUAUUUGAAAAUUGGCCCAACGGUAACUUUGACCGGCCUAAACGGUUAACCGUUAAUAGUUAACGAUGAACCGUUUUCGAGCAGACAGUCUAUAACGGCUAGUUUUUCAGCUCCAACUAUAAAUAAGUUCAAUCCAAUUCAAACAAGUAGAAUUCCAACGAUCAUCAUUGAGCAAAAUAUUGAGAAUACAACUUUCAUUGAGCUUUAAAUCUUUGUAUUCAUCUCAUUCAUUCACACAUUGAGCUUUCACUUGUGAUCAAAUACAUUGUAUGAGAGGGAUUCAUUUGUAAUCUUUUUUGUAAAAUCAAGUUAAAAGAUUGUAAGUGUUGGGAUACACUUGGGUUAAGAGAUUGGGGAUAAUCUCUUGUUGUAAAGGUCCAUUGACACCUUGGAAGUCAAUUGUAAGCGUUUGAAGCCUUGGGAGGCUAGCUUAGUGAAAUCCUCAAGCCCGGUGAGCUUGGAGGCGUGGACGUAGGCGGGGAUUGCCGAACCACGUAAAAAUCAUUGUGUUCGUUUUCUCUUCCCUUACUCUUUUAAUAUUGUGUAUGAUUGAAUUUAUUGUUUUCAAUUUGAUUAAGGCAAUAGAUUAAAUUGUUGUGUGGUUUGCUUAGCUUAAAUUUUAAAAUCCCAAUUCACCCCCCUCUUGGGUUGCCUAGUUAGUAUUUCAAAAUCGUCAUACGUAGUUACGUACUAAACUCAAACUGACUGGUCUGAGUAUUUAUUUAAUUUUAAUCAAUUAAAUACACCUGACUGAGUGAGUUUAAAUCUCAUCGGAUGGUGUACAAAUACGAUCUGUCGAAUUCAUAGGAAUUAUUUUAAUCUCCGCCACAAAAAUAAAAAGAAUUACAUUUUUAUUAUUUCUAAAAAAACUUUCAAAUAAUAAUAACGUCCGCAUUAUUGAAUUCCACAAAUCCUGCAAUAUAAGAUGCCCAUUUGAUGUCUAUAUAAUCCUCCAAUUCAAGCUGCCCAUUUGAUGAUUAUAUUUUUUUUUUAUUUUUCUCAUUUUUGUCUUCUUGUUUCCUUAACAAAUAAUAAUAUAUAAAUACUUCAAAAAUACUUCAAAAAUAAACAAGAAUAUAAUGUUAGUCAACAUGGCAGCUUUCACUUUUAGAAAGAAAAAGAAGGAAAACGAAAUUAAAAAGAUUCUGUACUGGACAAACUAUAAUUCCCCAUUCAGAGGUAGUUAAAUUUCAUCCAUACAUUUCAUUAAUAAUAAAUAAAUGAUACAAGAUAAUUUAAAAAUUUAGAAGAAUUUAAGCUAAGAAACCCAAAAUAAAGUUGCUUGGAAUUUAUAACAUCACUUUCCAAAUAAAAAUAAUUGUACAAAUGCACUUAUAUACUUCAAGUUGACAGCUUAUGCAGCAGAAAGGAAUUGAUUAUAUCAUUAUCCUUGCUGAAAAUACGUAGGUAAAGAGAUAGAGAGGUUUUUUUUUUUUUUUUUUGAAUGAGAACUAUUGCUCAUGAUAUUUACAAUCAUAUAAAUAUUGAGACCCGUUUACAUCAAUUUUGAUAUGACACCGCUCAGAUUUUAAACCUUCUCAAAUAUUCGAGGAACAUCAACUCCCAUCCUGAGAGAAAGACUGUCUUCACUCAAGCUCUAGGACUCCAAAAAAAAAAAUUAAAUUAAACUCCUACAAUACGUUUACGGAGGCUCGAACUGCUUCCCUCACAUUUAUGAAUGAGUAGCUCUAGCCACUUGGGCUUAGCCCUAAGCCCAAGUGGUUAGAUAGAGAGGUAUUAGAUGCAAAGCAAAAGUGAUUUUCUUUCUUUCUUUAUCCGUGUUUUGAUGAAAAAAGUGAUUUGAGUGAGUAAUCAUCAUUGUACUAAACAAAUAAUUGAAAGAGUGGCAUACUAAUAAUCUUCACAAGCGCCAUUCAUUGGCUUCUUACUCUUUUUUUUUUUAAGAGAGAAUAUAGUAACAAAUUUAAUAUCACUAUCUUUUUCGUUCUAAACAGGGGUGGCUUUAGGUAUAGGCGAGUAAGACAGUCGCCUAAGGCCUCAUAUUUUAAGAAGGUCUCAUUUUUUUUAAUAUUUUCUUAAUAAUUCUCUAAUUAAUAAAUUUUUUUAAUACAUAUUUUAAGAAUUAAGAGUUAUUUUUGAUUAAAAAAAAUCUAUUUUUGGAAACCUUAAUUUUAAAGAAAUAUAAUUAAUAAUAUUCUUUAACCAUUAGUUGAUUCAUUAUUAUUAUUUCCAAAAAAUUAUUUACCUUUUUAAUUAUUCAAUGUUAGAAUCUUUGAUUUUUAGUAUUUCUUUUAAUUUCUAUUAAAAACCUUAUAAUCUCAAGAAUUAGUAAAUGAAAAAAAUUUCUUAUUCUUUUCUAUACAAAGAAAAUCAUUAUAUUUAUUGGUUCAUGUAAAAUAAUUAGUUUCUUAAAAUAUAAAGUCCAUUUUUGUUUUUGAACAUCAAUUCAUCAUUUCAAAAUUUUGUACUCUAUCAUUUUAAAUAUUCUAUUUGAAAAAAAUAUUGUUUUUAUUUAUUUGUCUGUUUGUUUUUAACGGUUUUAAUGGAAUAAAAAAAAUACCUUCUUGACUAUUUUUUAGGUUUUAUUUUUAAAAUUUUUGAUCUUUUUUUAUUAUUAUUGAAAUUCAAAAAUUAAAGAUGAAAUAAAUUUUAAUUCUUUUUAUUGUCUUUGAGUAUUGAAAUUACAAAAUAAAUAGAGGACUCAUAAGAAAAUUUUGCCUAAAGCCCCUCAGACUCUAAAAAGGAUAGCAAAAUGCUCCAUGAAAUCCUACCUCAAAUGAGAUAAAUUUUAAUGAUUUUUCUAAAAGUAAGAAAAAAAUAAUUUAUAAAUAAUUUAUAGAUUGAAAUUUGGCUUUAUACAUCUUACCCUAUCUCUACCGUCUAAAUAUUUUAUAUUUUUAUAUAGUUUAAGAUAUUAUUUCAAUUGGAUUAUUUUUUAUUUUUAAUAAUUUAAAUAUUUUACAAUAUGUUGGUGGUGGUUUUAUUUGAGUCAUUUUAAUUUUCUUUUCACCAAAAUUAUAUAUAAAAAUCAACAAUAAAAUAAGCAAAUGAGAAGACGGUGGGAUGGAUAACUUAUCUUACACAAAGAUUUUCUAUUCCCAUUAGAGAAUGAAAUUUAUUCUAAUGGGGGUGGGUAAUCGAGAUGGUCUCCCCAAUUACUCCGCCACGUUGUCAUCCUUAUACUAAAUCAACCGUAUUCUACCAAGCAAUACGACCAUCGUGAAGAAACAAUGUAUUAUAUAUUGUUUAUAAUUUAUAGAAUGCGUAAGGAAGCAGAAAAUUAUCUUUGAAAAUGAGAGGGAAAUGGAGUUUACAGGAAAUUUCCUGCUAUCAUCAAAUUCGGCUACAUGAUAGCAAGUGUCAUUGGUAAGGAAGCUUACAACUUCAAAUUUAUAUACGCGGGCGAUAUAUAUAUAGCAUAAUUGGCAAAAAUGAGACACCAAAUUUCAUUAUUGACAAAACACACAGCAGAAGUGAUUGGUCUUCUAAUUUGAUCUGUUUACCCGGUAUUUAUGGUGCUAAAAAGCAACAACCAUGCACGCUUUUUCUUCUUUUAUUUUUGGGCUUUUUUUUUGUGAGGGUUUUUUUUUUGGGGGGGCCUGAUUCAAUUUCGUUAGUUUAAAAAUUAAAAUUGAUCUGUUGUAACUUUUAAAAUUGGCCAAAACACAGCUACGUCAUGUCGAUCCGUGUUAAGUUGUGAUUAUAACUAUAUGUGUAGUGCGAGAAUUUCUUGAUGACUGGACGACGCGGCAACAAAAGUAGGCCAAGAUUCCUCUCAUCGGAUCACAGAGUGGGAGAAAGAAUAGAUAUGACGAAUGGCAGCAAUUCUCCAAUUCCAAAUUCAUAUUCGUCUCAGUGAAAGAUUAGGCUUAUGGGGAGACGACACGAGUUUGAAACUGGUAAAAUUGGGCCUAUUAAGGCCCAGAUCAAAGUCCGACCCCCGUGCCCUCUCCAACAAAAUCACUAUCUCACAAAAAUCUCAGUCCAAGAGAAGGACAUUCCGAAGGAUAUUCCACGCUAAUUUUUCAAAUUUCCUUUUUUUUUUCCCUUUUUUUUUUUCUUUCUCCACCUACUAUACAGUUCCACAUCUCACAAAAAUCUCCAACUACUAGGCCCCAUGCAGCCGUGCUGGGUCUCCAUCAAAACGACAAAUACUAUAUAUUUUCCAAUUUUUAUAAUGCAUGUUUAAAAAAUAUAUUUCCCCUUUUGUCAUCUUCCCUCCUUAUCUAAAAUUAUCCUUUCAUCUCCGUUUACUUGCUCUACCCCACGCGCCGACCAAGUCACCCCAAUUCUUUAUUUCGUAAUGUCAGGUAUUUUGCAGAUCCAUAUCGAUAAUUAUCCAACCUCUACUCCAUUUAUCGGCAAUUCCGCCAUCGGAUUCCCGCCGAUUCAAGGAAAAAUAAAGGCACAUCAAAUUAAAAAAACAUAAAAAAGGAUACGUAAUAUAACAAGACAAGCCCUAUCUUAUUUAAAAAAGGCAGCUCAUAGAAAGACAUAAAAAACAGUUCAUCAAGAACCACCACCGGAGACCCGAUCCGACCCGAACAAGUAACAUAGCAGGAAAAUUAGAUAAAGAUUAAAAGUCCUACAGACACGCCCACAUAAUAAUAGAUAACAUAAUCAUCAUCACGAUCGCGAUCAGACGGCCCGUGAUGAUGGCGAUCAUUAUCAUGAUCAAAUCUAAGACAAUUGACCGCAAUCAGCGAUCACGACGGGCUUGUUGGUCCUUCCGGAGCUGGACCCCACUUUCUCGAUGGCCUUGACGACGUCCAUGCCUUCGACGACUUGACCGAACACAACGUGCUUCCCAUCGAGCCACUCGGUCUUGGCCGUACAGACGAAGAACUGAGAUCCGUUGGUUCCGGGUCCGGCAUUCGCCAUGG
rnacentral:lncRNA from 1 species